CCUACGGGCGACAGCAGUGAGGAAUAGUGGUCAAUGGGCGAGAGCCUGAACCAGCCAAGUCGCGUGAAGGAUGAAGGAUCUAUGGUUUGUAAACUGCUGUUAUAGGGGAAUAAAGUGAGGAACGUGUGCCUUUUUGUAUGUACCAUAUGAAUAAGCAUCGGCUAACUCCGUGCCAGCAGCCGCGGUAAUACGGAGGAUGCGAGCGUUAUCCGGAUUGAUUGGGUUUAAAGGGUGCGUAGGUGGUUAAUUAAGUCAGCGGUGAAAGUUUGUGGCUCAACCAUAAAAUUGCCGUUGAAACUGGUUGACUUGAGUCUAUUUGCGGUCGGCGCAAUGCGUGGUGUAGCGG
rnacentral:rRNA from 1 species